rnacentral:lncRNA from 1 species
UGGGCCUCCGGCUGCCAGUCGGCGGGCGGCCCCCGCCAUCCUCUCCUAGUGUCUCCGGGGCCAGCCGUUGGGACCCCAUUUGCCCCGGGUCUGGUGUUUGGGGUGGUUCCUGGCUGCCCGGUUCGUCUCCACCUUCUCACCUCCACCCCAUCUUGGGACCGGAACCUUUAUGAAAGUUUAAAGCGAACUUACUAUAGGAGCCUGGGACCUGGUGGGACUACAUUAUAUGGUAGCUCUUUGUUACAGCACUUAAUAUAGUCCCUUGAACAGACGAGGAGAUGGUAUGCACGAGAGCAGCUCCUUACUGACUACGUGGACAGCCCUCCAGUACAUAGUUGUAUAUUCUUCGUUGUGGGUCCUUCUAGUUGUGGCAUGUGGGACGCUGCCUCAGCGUGGUUUGAUGAGCAGUGCCAUGUCCGCGCCCAGGAUUCGAACCAACGAAACACUGGGCCGCCUGCAGCAGAGCGCGCGAACUUAACCACUCGGCCACGGGGCCAGCCCCGUGAUUCAGUAUUCUUAACGUGAGCUGUGUUUAUUUGGAAAAACUGUUCAUUUAGAGUCACACGUAUUCAUUCAAGGAAUCCAAGAAAAGCCUUAUAGAAAAUGUUCAUCCAGUCUCUAAGGUUGAGAUGCUGGUAAUUGAAAGUUCUACCCUGUUACUUUGUCGUUAUCACAGUGGAAUGCUCAUCCGCGGUGACGUGCUUGCUGGGAGAGAAUCCAUUACCAUUUCCCAAAGGCUGCGUCGGAGGCUCAGGUUCUAACACUGGAAUUCUUUCAAGUCUGUCUGCUGUUGGCAGAUCUAACGUAAAGGCUCUUAUAUCUGCUCUGGGGAGCUCAGCCUCCAACCAGCUAAGAUACUGGGAAGAAAGCAAAUAUUUAUCCUUGGA